ACCCGCACAAGCGGUGGAUCAUGUUGUUUAAUUCGAUGAUACGCGAAAACCUUACCCGGGCUUGACAUGCAUCAGACAGGCGUAGAGAUACGCCCUCCGCGAGGCUGGUGCACAGGUGCUGCAUGGUUGUCGUCAGCUCGUGUCGUGAGAUGUUGGGUUAAGUCCCGCAACGAGCGCAACCCUUAUCUUUAAUUGCCAGCAUUCAGUUGGGCACUUUAAAGAGACUGCCGGUGUUAAACCGGAGGAAGGUGGGAUGACGUCAAGUCCUCAUGGCCUUUAUGCUUAGGGCUACACACGUGCUACAAUGGGUGGUACAAAGAGAAGCCAACUCGCGAGAGCGCGCCAAUCUCAAAAAGCCAUCCUCAGUUCGGAUUGGAGUCUGCAACUCGACUCCAUGAAGUUGGAAUCGCUAGUAAUCGCGGAUCAGCAUGCCGCGGUGAAUACGUUCCCGGGCCUU
rnacentral:rRNA from 1 species